UAGCAGAGCAAAUUUCAACAUGCCCUUGGCCACCUGGGUUGUAGGGGACACUUUACUUUUUGCAUUGUGCUGUGACCAUUUCAUGCAUAAUCUUGGAUCUUCAUACUAUUUGACAACCAAAAGAAAGAAAAGGGAAUGGAUAUAUAUAUACACACAUAUAUUAUAUCUACAUAUACAUACAUAUGUAUAUGCCUACAGUACAUUAGCAAUGCUGGAAAUAGCUGAUGCCACAAAAUGCAGCCUGCAUGCAUGCAGAAGUUUAUAGCUGGCCCUUCAUCUGCAUCGAUUGGUGUUGAAGGUCCUUGGUAUGUUUCGACAGCCCCAUCCUUGAUGCUUCUACACUGUUGGGUGCAACAUCCUGUCCUGCAGCAGCAGGAAAAAUGAUACCCAUAAUAUCUGCCGAACAUCUGACUAGCCACAAGUAUGUUACCCAGAUGUAGAAUUUUCAUCACUAAACAAUCAUGCUAAAGAGGAAAGGACAGUGUGCUUGGUUAGAGUAAAGGACGAGGUCAUUAGCCAUAUUGUAUAUAUCGUCAAGCAACACACACAAAAGUUCCUCAGCCACAAGACAUCCACAUAUUGCAUGUUAACCAGAAGAAAAGACAACAUUUUCCGGAAAUCCACUGCACACUGUUGCCUAUACACUUUGUACAUUUAAUUGAUAUUUGUGCUGAGGUGAUAUUCCUGUCUAAAAGAACAACAUUGUCUUUCUUUUCUAGCACAGAGUUAUGCAUUCAAAGAUGCAUACCUAAUUAGUUUCCUAUAUAUUAAUGCCAUCUUGAAAAGACAGACUAUGGUGUAACCAUGAUUCUAUUAUGUAUUGGUACGUCUGUAGACCAAGAUAUAAUUUUUUAAAAAUAAGUUUAUUUCUUUCAAGGUUUACAAAUAACAAAGGUGCACCUUGUGUUUAAAAUUGCCAUUAUAGAUGAGAGCGUGCAUGCACAGUCAUUUUUGUUUAAGAGUAAUAUUUUUAAUGUAAUAGAUUGUAAGACGUGGUGAGGGAGGGAUCUGACAGAGAUGAAUGUGCCAAGCAAAACCACAACUGUGUAUAUUUUAAAGCACAUCAUGGCUUUAAGUACCAUGUUGUUAAGGAUUCUCAUGAAGUGCCAUAGACUGUACAUCAAAUUAGAGUAUUAUUUCUUCAGUGUUUGUUAUUGUUUUCAGAGCCACAUUUUGUUGCAUAUUUGCUAGUACUAAUCAGUCAAAGGGCACCAUUCUUUUUUUUUUUUUUUUGAAACCAAAGCUGUCUCAGAAAUGGCCAAUUUAACUUUACAGUAACAAUAGACAGCACAACACAAACUCUCUCAAUACAGAUAAACUCACACAUACUGGAGAUAUAUAUAUAAUAGAUAUAUAUAAAAUUA
rnacentral:lncRNA from 1 species